UACAGAGGGUGCAAGCGUUAAUCGGAAUUACUGGGCGUAAAGCGCGCGUAGGUGGUUUGUUAAGUUGGAUGUGAAAUCCCCUGGCUCAACCUGGGAACUGCAUUCAAAACUGACAAGCUAGAGUAUGGUAGAGGGUGGUGGAAUUUCCUGUGUAGCGGUGACAUGCGUAGAUAUGUGGAGGAACAUCAGUGGCGAAGGCGGCUUCCUGGCUUAACACUGACACUGUGGCGCGAAAGCGUGGGUAGCAAUCAGG
rnacentral:rRNA from 1 species